GAAGAAAAGCAGGCCACCGGAGCCUCGGAGAGGCAACCGUUUGGGGUACUCUUCCACACUGUGGCAGCUUUGUUCUUUUGCUCUUUGCAGUAAGUUUUGCUGUUGCUUACUCUUUGGGUCCGCACUGCCUUUAUGAACUGUAACACUGACCAUGGAGGUCUGCAGCUUCACUCCUGAAGCCAGCAAGACCAGGAGCCCACCGGGAAGAGGAAUGAACAACUCUGGACACGCCACCCUUAAGAGCUGUAACACUCACCGCGACGGUCUGCAGCUUCACUCCUGAAGUCAGCGAGACCACGAACCCACCAGAAGGAAGAAAAUCCGGACACAUCUGAACAUCUGAGGGAACUCUGCACACACCAUCUUUAAGAACUGUAAUACUCACCGCGAGGGCCCGUGGCUUCAUACUUGAAGUCAGCAAGACCAAGAACCCACCAAUUCUGGACACAACAGGACACACACAUGGGAGGGGGAGGCCAGAGGGAAACCUAGCUGGCUUGGGGUGGGAAUUUCAAUCCCUGAGCCCAUCUUCUUCUUUCACCACUUUGUCCGGUGACAUUAGGACCGACCAACCAAUGCCAUUAUAUUUCUUAGUUUACAAGAAAAUGUUUGAAGUUCUCAUCCACAGAAUCACUUAGCUUCUUGCUUUUUACAAGUGGUUGAUUAGGAGUAUUCAAUACAGAUUUUGUGUAUUACUAUAAACAGUUCACAGCAUGGACUACUGGUGUUCUCUUUACUAACUGAAAUGGUGUCAUUAGCACCUUUAAAUCUAAUCCAUUUAGAGAGCCAGUUCCGGAAACCUCAGAACCAGUUUGGAAAACUUCUGUUCUUCUGAAGCCAUUUUUGGAACCACAUCUGUGCUAGGUUCUCCAGGGAAACAGAACCAAUAUGUUUUAUUUACUAUGGGGACUGGCUCAUAUGAUUCUGGAGGCCUAGAAGUCCCUCCCUCUCAAGAUCUGCUGUCAGCAAGCUGCAGAACCGGGAAAGCUGGUGGUGUCAGAGUCUGAAGGCCUGAGAACUGGGUGGGGAGUGGGAUAGACUAAGGGGCCUUUAGUCUCUGGGUUGGUGUGGUCCCCACAGGUGAGCCUUUCGUGGAGAAGGGUGGAGAGGGGAUCUGGAAGGGCCAAUAGAAGACACUCAGCACUAAGAGACCUUUGGACUCAGACCAGAACUUACACCAUUCAUUCAUUCAGUCGGUGAAAAUGUAUUGACCAAUGUAUCAACCAGGAUUGCGACACAAAAACAGAUGGCACACUCAAAAGAGGAUAAUUCAAGAAGGGCUUCUUUAAGGGACUAUUUCCCAAGAUGGGAAUGGAGGGGAACCUGCAGGGCUAGUGUCCUACCCUCCAGCAGGCAGCAGCUAAUUCCUGAGGGGAUAAGGACGUGGUUGCGAGGACAUGGAGGGAAAGUUCUACAGAGGAGGCACAGUGGGCUUCAGGAACACCCUGCUUGAGAGGCCUGUGAGAGGUGGGGAAUCAAGACCUGACCUCGCUCUCCUUCCAUCUCUCCCCAACCCACAGGGGUUGGUGUGGGCCCCACAGGCGAGCCUCCCGGGGAGAGGAGUGGAGAGGACCUGGAGGGCCAGUAGAAGGGAGAAAGAAGUAUUUGCUAAGAAUGGCAAUCCUGACACUCAGCCUUCAACUCAUCUUGUUAUUAAUACCAUCAAUAUCCCAUGAGGCUCAUAAAACGAGUCUUUCUUCUUGGAAACAUGACCAAGAUUGGGCAAACGUCUCCAACAUGACUUUCAGCAACGGAAAACUAAGAGUCAAAGGCAUUUAUUACCGGAAUGCCGACAUUUGCUGUCGACAUCGCGUAACCUCAGCAGGCCUAACUCUGCAGGACCUUCAGCUAUGGUGUAAUUUGAGAACCAUUCACUGAGCAUCGACUAUGUAACCAGCAUUGGGUUGGGUGCCAGAGAUCCAAAGCUAAGACACCAAAACCUGCUCUCCAGGAAACGAGAGGCUGAGAAGAGGGCCAGCAGGUGUCUGUCAGUACUUGGAGCCGUGAGAGCAGGGAGUGGGUGCUGGGCUGAGGAACCAGAGGUAAUGGCCCUGGGGACGCCUGGGAAGAGAUGAGUUUUGAGGCAAAGAAUUGUUAACAUACAAGAUAACCAAAGCACGAAGGCUCUGAUGCGUGAUAAAAUAAUCAUUUCUCAAAACAGGAAGAUGAGAACUGCAUUUCGAGUUGUAUCACUUGGUACGCAAUACUUGCAAUCUGUGUGCUGUAAUUACAGUGUUUCUUCACUCUAAGUGCAUCUGACUGAUACUAGCAUAACAAAAGACGUGAUUGCAGUAGUGUUUUUCUUUUACUUCAUUUGUUAAACAGUGCAGAAAUCCAAAUAACAACAUUCUCAACAGCAAACAGAAUCUCUGUCAUUUGAGAAGGUUUUGCUAUGCUACGGAAUGCCUGUGUUUGGAAAAACAGAGAAAAAGGUUUUUAGCGGGUUCCACUAAGCACAGUAUUCUAUCUGCUUGGUAUACACGAUCAAAAAUAACUUAACCUUUGUCUAGGGAAAGUCUUUAAGGUAGCUCUUACUGCAUAUCUUCACUAUAUGUACACAGACACCAUAUUUAUAUAUUAUAUAUUUAUAUAAGACAUGUAUGUACACAUUUACAGACCUUCAAAAAUAUAUUGCACUUAUAUACAAUGCAGCUUUAUCUUAACUGAUUUCAUACUGUAACCCAUUAAAAUUCUUCAUGAGAAAGGCAGUUGAUAUGUCCGAGAAAGUCGCAAAGGAAGAUUUCAGUAACAUGCCCUGUUUAGUAAACAUCUGGUGGAGAGUGAGAGGGUAAGGGAGAGAGGGCUCCCCCCUGUACUCUUCAGGUGCGCUCCCGCUAACGUGAGGCAGUGGAGUUGUACUGAAUUCAGGCAAGGGCACGAAAUCCUUAAAGCCAAGCCUAUCGUCUUUUCUGACUUCUGCUAGCGAGCAGGCCCACGACAUUGUAGGCACAAGGCAGAGAUCCCAAAAUUUUGAUAAAUAACGUAGCAGAUGUCCUAAAGCUUCCCAGAGACUCUGUUAACUCUUGGAAUAAAGUUUUCACUUUAAAUCCUGUAUAUAUCAGGAAAUUC